rnacentral:rRNA from 1 species
AGUGAACGCUGGCGGUAGACCUAACACAUGCAAGUCGAACGGCAGCACAGUAAGAGCUUGCUCUUACGGGUGGCGAGUGGCGGACGGGUGAGGAAUACAUCGGAAUCUACUUUUUCGUGGGGGAUAACGUAGGGAAACUUACGCUAAUACCGCAUACGACCUACGGGUGAAAGCAGGGGAUCUUCGGACCUUGCGCGAUUGAAUGAGCCGAUGUCGGAUUAGCUAGUUGGCGGGGUAAAGGCCCAGCAAGGCGACGAUCCGUAGCUGGUCUGAGAGGAUGAUCAGCCGCACUGGAACUGAGACACGGUCCAGACUUCUACGUGAGGCAGCAGUGGGGAAUAUUGGACAAUGGGCGCAAGCCUGAUCCAGCCAUACCGCGUGGGUGAAGAAGGCCUUCGGGUUGUAAAGCCCUAUUGUUGGGAAAGAAAAGCAGCAGGUUAAUACCCCGCUGUUCUGACGGUACCCAAAGAAUAAGCACCGGCUAACUUCGU